GUGCUAGCUUCGGCAGCACAUAUACUAAAAUUGGAACGAUGCAGAGAAAAUUAGCAUGGCCCCUGCGGAAGGAUGACACGCAAAAUCGUGAAGCGUUCUUAUUUUUU
rnacentral:snRNA from 1 species